GUAAAUAGUGCUGUAUACUGCAUUAGCGUUAUUACGGUAUUAGUGCACAUAAACGACACGACAUAACACAACCGAGCUCAACAGUUGCAAUCCAUUCCCUGAAGGAUGAUAUGCGUGUGUAGACAUCGGGGGUCCUGGGGUCUCCGCAUCGCCGGCCAGAGAAGGAGACCACGCCUGCUGUUUCUCCAUCACACACCAACGGACCACCUGAAUCGCCCUUUAACAGAAAAGAUACAACAAAACUUAACAACUUCUGGGUUAAUGAUCGACACAUUCACCUCUCUCAGCUCAUCAACAGUGCCACCACCAGUUCUCACGUAACCCCA